rnacentral:piRNA from 1 species
UGCCAUAGGUAAGGGUAGGCUAAAGAGG